UGGCUCAGUGGUUAAGAGCACUGGUUGCUCUUCCAGAGGAUCUGGGUUCAAUUCCCUG
rnacentral:tRNA from 1 species